CCUACGGGCGGCAGCAGUGAGGAAUAUUGGUCAAUGGGCUUACGCCUGAACCAGCCAAGUCGCGUGAAGGAAGACUGCCCUAUGGGUUGUAAACCUCUUUUAUCAGGGAGUAACGCCGGCCACGUGUAGCCGGACUGAGAGUACCUGAAGAAAAAGCAUGGGCUAACUCCGUGCCAGUAGCCGGGGUAUUACGGAGGAUGCGGGGGUUAUCCGGUUUUAUUGGGUUUAAAGGAUGCGUAGGCGGAAUGUCAAGUCGUCGGUAAAAUCGGGGGGCUCAACCUCGCUCCGCAGUUGAAACUGGCGUUCUUGAGUGGGCGAGAAGUAUGCGGAAUGCGUGGUGUAGCGGUGAAAUGCAUAGAUAUCACGAAGAACUCCGAUUGCGAAGGCAGCAUACCGGCGCCCAACUGACGCUGAAGCACGAAAGCGUGGGUAUCGAACAGGAUUAGAUACCCUGGUAGUC
rnacentral:rRNA from 1 species